AAUAGCCUGCUCAGCAGCACCCAAGUCUCAGGGCAAGAGCAUUGAUGACUCGUAUAUGGCAUUUUUGGAGGACAUGAAAGCACUGGGUGCGCUUGAUAGUUGAUUUAAUUUAUAGCUUGACCUUCUCAAAAAAAAAAAAAAUAGCUUGACAAUGUACAAGGUAAUGAAGAGCCAUUGGGGGGAAGAAAAUCUGUAUGCAAGCUAUCCUAAAGCGGAAAUACGUUUUGUUGCUGCUAGCCUUAGUUUAUUUCUUUCCCUUAUUUGUUUAGGAACUUACCUGUGUAUCAUCGAUUAUCAAUUCAUCAUUUCUAUUGCUCAGGUGUUUUUAUGUUGGAGUUCUUGAGGUGGGAGUAAAGUUGCCCUACUUUUCUUG
rnacentral:lncRNA from 1 species